CGGUUGAUCCUGCCGGAGGCCACUGCUAUGGGGGUCCGACUAAGCCAUGCGGGUCAUGGGGCGCCUUGCGCGCACCGGCGGACGGCUCAGUAACACGUCGGUAACCUACCCUCGGGAGGGGGAUAACCCCGGGAAACUGGGGCUAAUCCCCCGUAGGCCUGAGGUACUGGAAGGUCCUCAGGCCGAAAGGGUCUUUGACCGCCCGAGGAUGGGCCGGCGGCCGAUUAGGUAGUUGGUGGGGUAACGGCCCACCAAGCCGAAGAUCGGUACGGGCCAUGAGAGUGGGAGCCCGGAGAUGGACACUGAGACACGGGUCCAGGCCCUACGGGGCGCAGCAGGCGCGAAACCUCCGCAAUGCUCGAAAGAGCGACGGGGGGACCCCCAGUGCCGUGGCAUCGCCACGGCUUUUCCGGAGUGUAAAGAGCUCCGGGAAUAAGGGCUGGGCAAGGCCGGUGGCAGCCGCCGCGGUAAUACCGGCGGCCCGAGUGGUGGCCGCUAUUAUUGGGCCUAAAGCGUCCGUAGCCGGGCCAGUAAGUCCCUGGCGAAAUCCCACGGC
rnacentral:rRNA from 1 species